CUAGAUUUUUUCGAGACCCAAUUCUGCUAGUCAUAUAUAAACUGCUCUCAGUUUAUGCAGAUACCUAGAUCUGAAAUUUUCAGGAAGGCGUCUUCAUAAACGCCGUUUCCACUUUUCAUUCUUUCUUCCAGAUCUGAAUUUGAAUUUCAUCGGAAAAAACUGCGAAAAUGAGAGAAUGCAUUUCAAUCCACAUCGGACAGGCCGGAAUUCAGGUCGGAAAUGCAUGCUGGGAGCUUUAUUGCCUUGAACAUGGCAUUCAGGUACAUGAUUUUUCAAUUUUUCUUUCUUCUUCAGAUAAGCACAUUGUUGUUAAGAAGCUUGACGUCGUUGUGUAUGUUAUAGAUCUGUUUGAAUUUGUUAGUUUGAAUUAUUUGAAUGUGUUUGUUUUUGUGUAGAUCUAGUUGAUUCUGAAUAGAAAUGUGUUGUUAUCUUAUAGAUCUAUUUGAAUCCAGAAGUUUGUCUAAUUUAGCGAUUGGUUAUAGAUUUUGAAGACUUCUCUUCAAAAAUUUGUUUGGCCAUGAAAUUUGAGCAGGUUUUGAAAAUUUGAUCUUCAAAUAUUUUCAAUUAAAAUGCAUGUCCAAACACAACAUUAAAAACUCAUUGUAUUUUUUCAAGUUUCAACUGUUUGGCAACAAUGGAAUGAUCACAAUAAUAACAUAUUUAGUUAUUUAGCAAAAUAAUUGUACCAAAAUUAGAUAAAUAUGGCUAUAAUAUUUUGAAUAUUCAUAGAUAAUACUCGAGUUGUGUACUGUUCUAAAUGUUUCCAAAGAUUAAACUAGUCUUCUCUGGGAAUCAACAAAAUUUUAUUAAUACUAAUACUAGCAAGUUUUUUUUUAUGGGAGAAAUAAAAGCCAACAAAAGAAGAUAGUUAAAUUAGAAAGGCAUAAAAGGAAGAGUAGGAUGUAUUUUGCUGAGUAAAAUUGAAGCGUAUUUAUAGGCUUGAAGUGGUUUGUUUUCUCCUACAAGUGUCAAAUUUAUGUGCAAAGGAAAUGAACCAUUUCCUAACAUAUGUUUGACGCUUGUCAAGAGAAAACAACUCACUUCAAGCAUAUAAAUAAGCAUGCAUACUUCAAGCAAAAAUUUAAUACUAAAUACUUUCUUCCUCCCUCUGUCUCGCCUCAUGUUGUCUCUCUUCCUUUUGUGCCUUUUUAUUGUCCUCUAUUUCACAUCAAAAUUUAUGGCCAAAUGGGAGCUAAAUGUGUGCAGUUUUGGUAUUCGUC
rnacentral:lncRNA from 1 species